rnacentral:rRNA from 1 species
GACGAACGCUGGCGGCGCGCCUAACACAUGCAAGUCGAACGGAGUCAAGAGGAGCUUGCUUUUCUUGACUUAGUGGCGAACGGGUGAGUAACGCGUGAGUAACCUGCCCUGGAGUGGGGGACAACAGUUGGAAACGACUGCUAAUACCGCAUAAGCCCACGGCCCGGCAUCGGGCUGAGGGAAAAGGAUUUAUUCGCUUCAGGAUGGACUCGCGUCCAAUUAGCUAGUUGGUGAGGUAACGGCCCACCAAGGCGACGAUUGGUAGCCGGACUGAGAGGUUGAACGGCCACAUUGGGACUGAGACACGGCCCAGACUCCUACGGGAGGCAGCAGUGGGGGAUAUUGCACAAUGGGGGAAACCCUGAUGCAGCGACGCCGCGUGGAGGAAGGAGGUUUUCGGAUUGUAAACUCCUGUCGUUAGGGACGAUAAUGAC